rnacentral:sRNA from 1 species
CUUGGUCAUUUAGAGGAAGUAAAAGUCGUAACAAGGUUUCCGUAGGUGAACCUGCGGAAGGAUCAUUAAAAGAUAUGGCAUAUUCCAUGUGGAUAUACCCAAUCAACCCAUUCUGAGUACCUUACCUGUUGCUUCCACACAGUGUCAGUGCAUUAGUACUGACAUUCAGACGAUAGUGAAAACUUAUCCGAUGGAGAUGUGUGGAGGAUAUACAUUAAACUCUUGCAUUACCAUGUAUUCUGUCUGAUUAUGUUUAAUACAAAAUAUUAAAACUUUCAACAACGGAUCUCUUGGUUCUCGCAUCGAUGAAGAACGCAGCGAAAUGCGAUAAGUAGUGUGAAUUGCAGAAUUCAGUGAAUCAUCGAAUCUUUGAACGCACAUUGCGCCUCCUGGUAUUCCGGGAGGCAUGCCUGUUCGAGCGUCAUUAAAAACCACUCAAGCUCUUUUGCUUGGUAUUGGAAGAUGAGUAUGCUUUGUUAUACUCACUUUCGAAAUUCAAAGGCGUAGAGCCCCACGUGCCACGGCGUAGUAAGUUUUCUUUCGCUUGGAAUGUGAGGUGAUAUUGCCACAAACCCCCAAUUUUUCUAGGUUGACCUCGGAUCAGGUAGGGAUACCCGCUGAACUUAAGCAUAUCAAUAAGCGGAGGAAAAGAAACCAACAGGGAUUGCCUUAGUAACUGCGAGUGAAGCGGCAAAAGCUCAAAUUUGAAAUCUGGCGUCUUCGGCGUCCGAGUUGUAAUUUGGAGGGGCAUCUUCGGAGUUGGCGCCGUCCUAAGUUCCUUGGAACAGGACGUCAUAGAGGGUGAGAAUCCCGUGCCUGGAUGGCUGUCCAUCUCCAUGUGAAGUGUCUCCGACGAGUCGAGUUGUUUGGGAAU